rnacentral:misc_RNA from 1 species
AACAAGCUUUGGUUUAAGAUGACACUGUGGGAAAAAACAUGGAAAAUUAGUUUCUGAGAUUUAUUAUGUUAGCCAUGGCUAUUUAAUUGCAAUUAGUUGAAGUGUUGAACUUUGUUUCAUUUUAUUUUGUGGAUUUGUGGAGUAUUCUCUAAUUUGACAUUUGCUUAUUAGCACAGAUAUGGUGGGUUGGGAAAGUUUAAAAAUCAUAUGCGUAUGGAUUAGGUAUUUGUAGGGUUUGGAUGUAGAUCACGUGUGGCCAGUGGGGUGGUUGAUAUUUCAACUGAGGUAUCUUGAUUGUUAAAUUUUGUUCAUGAAUGUUAUUUUGAAUCAUGUGCAUUUUGGAGCUGAAGUUGUUUUGAAGUGAAGAAAAUCAAUUCACCAAUUUGAUCUUCUUCCUUUUGCUUACUGUAACUUUAAUAUGUAGUUUACUCCUUCCAUAGAUCAAUUUGUAUUUCAUUGAUUACCAUGACAUUUGGGUGAGUAGCUGUCUAAUAUCCCUGUUGAUGUGGGUAACUUCUUCCUAGUUUGUUCCAAAGUUAAUUAGUAUAAAUAUUUUUAGCCUUGAGUUUUCUAAAGAUUUAUCAUCUGGGUCUAUUACAGUUUGUGUACUGUAAAAUUGAGCAUUUCUAGCUAUUCUCUGGCGGGGUGUGUGUGUGUGUGUGUG